UACGUAGGGCGCAAGCGUUGUCCGGAAUUAUUGGGCGUAAAGAGCUCGUAGGCGGUUUGUCGCGUCUGCUGUGAAAACCUAAGGCUCAACCUUGGGCUUGCAGUGGGUACGGGCAGACUAGAGUGCGGUAGGGGUGACUGGAAUUCCUGGUGUAGCGGUGGAAUGCGCAGAUAUCAGGAGGAACACCGAUGGGCGAAGGCAGGUCACUGGGCCGCAA
rnacentral:rRNA from 1 species